rnacentral:rRNA from 1 species
GAGUUUGAUCAUGGCUCAGAGCGAACGCUGGCGGCAGGCUUAACACAUGCAAGUCGAGCGCCCCGCAAGGGGAGCGGCAGACGGGAGAGUAACACGUGGGAACAUACCUUUUGGUUCGGAACAACUGAGGGAAACUUCAGCUAAUACCGGAUAAGCCCUUACGGGGAAAGAUUUAUCGCCGAAAGAUUGGCCCGCGUCUGAUUAGCUAGUUGGUGGGUAAUGGCCCACCAAGGCGACGAUCAGUAGCUGGUCUGAGAGGACGAUCAGCCACACUGGGACUGAGACACGGCCCAGACUCCUACGGGAGGCAGCAGUGGGAAUUUUGGACAAUGGGGGCAACCCUGAUCCAGCAAUGCCGCGUGUGUGAAGAAGGCC